rnacentral:rRNA from 1 species
AGAAUCAACGCUGGCGGCGUGCCUCAGACAUGCAAGUCGAACGAUUAAAGCUCUCUUCGGAGAGUGUAUAGAGUGGCGCACGGGUGAGUAACACGUAAGUAAUCUACCCUCGAGUGGGGAAUAACGUCCGGAAACGGACGCUAAUACCGCAUAAUGCAGCGGCACCGCAAGGUGACAGUUGUUAAAGAUUUAUCGCUUGAGGAGGAGCUUGCGGCAGAUUAGCUAGUUGGUAAGGUAAUGGCUUACCAAGGCUACGAUCUGUAACCGGUCUAAGAGGACGGUCGGUCACACUGACACUGAAUAACGGGUCAGACUCCUACGGGAGGCAGCAGUCGGGAAUUUUGGGCAAUGGGCGAAAGCCUGACCCAGCAACGCCGCGUGAAGGAUGAAGUAUUCGGUAUGUAAACUUCGAAAGAAUGGGAAGAAGUCAAUGACGGUACCAUUUAUAAGGUCCGGCUAACUACGUGCCAGCAGCCGC